rnacentral:misc_RNA from 1 species
GAUGAAGAACGUAGUGAAAUGCGAUAAGUAAUGCGAAUUGCAGAAUUUCCGUGAGUCAUCGAAUCUUUGAACGCACAUUGCGCCCUCUGGUAUUCCGGGGGGCAUGCCUGUUCGAGCGUCAUUAUAACCACUCAAGCUCUCGCUUGGUAUUGGAGUUCGCGAUCUCGCGGCUCCUAAAAUCAGUGGCGGUGCCUGUCGGCUCUACGCGUAGUAAUACUCCUCGCGAUUGAGUCCGGUAGGUUUACUUGCCAGCAACCCCCAAUUUUUACAGGUUGACCUCGGAUCAGGUAGGGAUACCCGCUGAACUUAAGCAUAUCAAUAAGCGGAGGA